CACACCGUAAACGCUGAUUACUAGGUGUAGGGGGUAUAGACUCCCUCUGUGCCGGAGUUAACGCAUUAAGUAAUCCACCUGGGGAGUACGGCCGCAAGGUUAAAACUCAAAGGAAUUGACGGGGGCCCGCACAAGCAGUGGAGUAUGUGGUUUAAUUCGAAGCAACGCGAAGAACCUUACCAGGGCUUGACAUCCUCUGACGGCUCUAGAGAUAGAGAAUUCUCUUCGGAGACAGAGAGACAGGUGG
rnacentral:rRNA from 1 species